AGAGUUUGAUCCUGGCUCAGGACGAACGCUGGCGGCGUGCCUAAUACAUGCAAGUCGAACGAAACUUUCUUACACCGAAUGCUUGCAUUCACCGUAAGAAGUUGAGUGGCGGACGGGUGAGUAACACGUGGGUAACCUGCCUAAAAGAAGGGGAUAACACUUGGAAACAGGUGCUAAUACCGUAUAUCUCUAAGGAUCGCAUGAUCCUUAGAUGAAAGAUGGUUCUGCUAUCGCUUUUAGAUGGACCCGCGGCGUAUUAACUAGUUGGUGGGGUAACGGCCUACCAAGGUGAUGAUACGUAGCCGAACUGAGAGGUUGAUCGGCCACAUUGGGACUGAGACACGGCCCAAACUCCUACGGGAGGCAGCAGUAGGGAAUCUUCCACAAUGGACGCAAGUCUGAUGGAGCAACGCCGCGUGAGUGAAGAAGGUCUUCGGAUCGUAAAACUCUGUUGUUAGAGAAGAACACGAGUGAGAGUAACUGUUCAUUCGAUGACGGUAUCUAACCAGCAAGUCACGGCUAACUACGUGCCAGCAGCCGCGGUAAUACGUAGGUGGCAAGCGUUGUCCGGAUUUAUUGGGCGUAAAGGGAACGCAGGCGGUCUUUUAAGUCUGAUGUGAAAGCCUUCGGCUUAACCGGAGUAGUGCAUUGGAAACUGGAAGACUUGAGUGCAGAAGAGGAGAGUGGAACUCCAUGUGUAGCGGUGAAAUGCGUAGAUAUAUGGAAGAACACCAGUGGCGAAAGCGGCUCUCAGGUCUGUAACUGACGCUGAGGUUCGAAAGCGUGGGUAGCAAACAGGAUUAGAUACCCUGGUAGUCC
rnacentral:rRNA from 1 species